GCCUUGGUAGUGCAGUAGGCAGCGCGUCAGUCUCAUAAUCUUGAUCUAACAGCCGAGUAAUCUGAAGGUCAUGAGUUCGAUCCUCACCUGGGGCA
rfam:Octopus bimaculoides Scaffold69717_contig_36, whole genome shotgun sequence.